rnacentral:tRNA from 1 species
GCGCAAGGCAAUUGGAUACAGAAAUCAUGAUAAAUGGCAUGAAUGUCAGGAGAAACUGCAUUCACCUACGGUCUUCGGAACCGAGGGUUACAGGUUCGAAUCCUGUCGGGCGUA